GUGUUAGUAGAAAGGAGAGACGGUUGGCAUCUCUCCCCUACAGGGAUGGGAACAGUCUUCAGGCUUUCCUAUAGCACAUAUUGUGGUUAUUUUUUUUGCGAAACAUAUUGUGGUUAAUGCUACCCACUUUGGUGGAUCUUACCCAAAUUUUUAA